rnacentral:rRNA from 1 species
AUUGAACGCUGGCGGCAGGCUUAACACAUGCAAGUCGAACGGUAACGGGAAGGAAGCUUGCUUUCUUUGCUGACGAGUGGCGGACGGGUGAGUAAUGCUUGGGAAUCUGUUUUAUGGAGGGGGAUAACUACGGGAAACUGUAGCUAAUACCGCGUAAUAUCGAGAGAUUAAAGUGUGGGACCGCAAGGCCACAUGCCAUGAAGUGAGCCCAAGUGGGAUUAGGUAGUUGGUGGGGUAAAGGCCUACCAAGCCGUCGAUCUCUAGCUGGUCUGAGAGGAUGACCAGCCACACUGGGACUGAGACACGGCCCAGACUCCUACGGGAGGCAGCAGUGGGGAAUAUUGCACAAUGGGCGCAAGCCUGAUGCAGCCAUGCCGCGUGAAUGAAGAAGGCCUUCGGGUUGUAAAGUUCUUUCGGUGGUGAGGAAGGUUGGCGUGUUAAUAGCACGUUGAUUUGACGUUAGCCACAGAAGAAGCACCGGCUAACUCCGUGCCAGCAGCCGCGGUAAUACGGAGGGUGCGAGCGUUAAUCGGAAUAACUGGGCGUAAAGGGCACGCAGGCGGAUACUUAAGUGAGGUGUGAAAGCCCUGGGCUUAACCCAGGAAUUGCAUUUCAUACUGGGUAUCUAGAGUAUUUUAGGGAGGGGUAGAAUUCCACGUGUAGCGGUGAAAUGCGUAGAGAUGUGGAGGAAUACCGAAGGCGAAGGCAGCCCCUUGGGGGAAUACUGACGCUCAUGUGCGAAAGCGUGGGGAGCAAACAGG